rnacentral:lncRNA from 1 species
AGAAAAUUUUCCCAGACAACUGCACAGUAAGGUGAACUUGGCACUAGGGCAGAUAUGGGCCCACUGCACCCUCCAAUAGGAAAAGAAUUCAGGGCAUGCGUAUCUUCCUGCCAGUCAGCCCAAUCAAAGUCCAGCCUCCACUGGAAACUGCAAGAUGGAACCUGGUCAUCCUCAGGUACCAGGAACCAGGGGUUCACUCCCACAGAAACGGGAUUCCUUUCCUGGCCAGAUUAUCCUUCAAAUCUACAGCCUGCAAGGCCCUGGGUACUGACCACACCCUAGAGAAAGCUCUCAUAAUGCAGGGCUUGGUCCAAAUUGAAUUCAUUAUGCAACAAGGGCGACUCACCUAAAUCUGAAGCCUCCAGGGCCUCGCUCACAGGACAAUGAGCAUCCAGCAAGACCCACAGGAAGAAGGCGGGCAACACGACCAAGGGCUCCACAGAUCACCAGGGAUGCUUUCAGGAAGACUUCAGAAGAAGGCGGGCAACACGACCAAGGGCUCACAGAUCACCAGGGAUGCUUUCAGGAAGACUUCAGAAGACCUGCCAGGGAAGACCGUGGAUGUGCCAGGUCUCUGCCAUAGUGCCAUGGGAGCUGUUGUCUCCUACACUGAGGCAGCCUUGGUAUGCCAACCAAUGAGCAAUGUCUAUCACAACUGUGGUGGUCCUCAAAGGUUGAUGCGUCACUGCCAGGGGGGCAAACACAUGGGUGCUAUCAGGGCUGGCCGGCUGGCCCCAACCUUAGGGAAUCUUGAUAAUUCCAGGCCGAAGGACAAAUGGCGGCCAAGGGGCAUGUGCGUACACCACGUAACUACCCACUGGGCUGGUUCCUUGGCCUCUUUAUUGCAACUCUUCAAGGCACCAAAGAUGCCCUUUGAGAGUCCUUCUACUGGCAGUGGGACAACAAGGCCACAAAGGUCACCUUUCACCGAGCCUCCUAAGGACAAGCAAUGCCCUGUCCUCUGUACCCAGCUGAUGGCAGCUCCAAAAGGACCCCACUGUAUUACUGAAAACAGAACAACAGUGCCUGCAAGCCUCAGCGGACAUAUUGUCCCAGUAAAUCACACUGCACUUUUCCUCACCUGCACAAACAUUCUUCUCUGGGCCUCUGGCCAACCUGCAGGAGGAAUGCAGGCCUAGGACCACAGCAUAGUCCAUGGCGACCUCCAAGACUCAAGCACGUGACAGGAGUUGCAAUUCAGCCACUGCCAAGGGCAGAAAUGGGCCUAUUAACUUUCACAACUGCCACCAUUCCCCCAGGUCUCUGCAGCCACUGCAGCCCACAUGGCACUCAGGAAUCUCAGCAACCCAAAGGGAUGCAACGGCGAGGGCCUCAGACCUGACCUGGGGCUCCAAUCACAAACCACAGAAGCUUCAUUGCUUUAGAAUCGACAUCACCAGAGCCCCAAUUAGUGCAUCUGCAGCAGGAAUCAGGACAAAAUGCACCUUUCCAAGCUAAGACGUCAACUGUCUGAGGCUAGGAUCUACUGCGACACCUACCACCACUGGACAAGCCAGAUGGCUCUAUGCUCCUCAGUGCCUUUACAUGGACCUUGUAUUCCAAGAGGGCCGCUAGAAUAUCUGUACAUGGCCCACCCUCAGACGGGAGCCUCGCAAAUGGUGGUGACCUGGCUCCUCCAUGCGUGUGUGUGACACAGUCGGAGACGCCCUCACUGCUAACCAGUCCCACCCUUAACCCCAAGGGAGGCAACGUGCUGGACCUCAGUUUCGAUGAGGAGACGGUAGUGAGUUCUCACUCAUUUUGUUCAGAUUUUCCAAGGAAUGCAUGUGAGGGUGUCAUCAUCGAUCCGAGCACGUGCUGGCUUGCUGCCCACCUCCUCACGGCAGGAAGGGCUGCUCCCAGGAGGAGCCAGUGACCCGGGAGUCCUCCAGCAGCCAGGGGAACUCAGAGCCCUCAGGCUUCUCAGCAAGAGGAACGGUCCCUCUAUACGAACAACCACUCAGGCAGUCCCAGGAAACCUGAAAUUCACGACACGUCUUGGGGCAGGAGAAGCCGUACCGUGCUGGGUGAUCCAAAAAGCAGUGGCAGCAACUCGGGUGCGCCACACUUCUUGCCGGACUCCCUUGCACCUUGAGUCACUGCCUCACGGGUGGGGGUUCAUCUCCUGGCUGAUGGACAGUCAUACGUGGCAACUUCACCUGACAAGUGGACAGAAAGCACAGGAAUGCUUCAGAUGUGUACUUGGUCUCUCACUAAUACUGAUGCAAGUGUUUCCCUAGGGGAAGGCCUGUAUCUGCACCCCAACUAUAUUGAUCCUUUACAGACGACUGGUUACCUAUCUUUCAAAAGAGUGCGGCAAAUUAGGCUCAAGUGCAUGUGGGUGUCUUUCUGACCAAGCGUGCAAGGGUAGCAGGGGAUUCGAUGUGAGUUUGAGUGCCUGCAUUCUGGUGUACCAAUAAAAAUGCAUUCUCAGCAUUUUGGGUGUGUGUC